CCUACGGGAGGCAGCAGUGGGGAAUCUUGCGCAAUGGGCGAAAGCCUGACGCAGCAACGCCGCGUGUGUGAUGAAGGUCUUCGGAUCGUAAAGCACUGUCGCGAGGGACGAAUAAGGUACGGGCGAACAGUCCGUGCCGAUGACGGUACCUCGAGAGGAAGCACCGGCUAACUCUGUGCCAGCAGCCGCGGUAAUA
rnacentral:rRNA from 1 species